AUUUUUAAUAAUAUUUUGAUUUUGUUAUCAAUUUGUGAAUUGCUAGACAGAAGAUAAAUUAUAAAAAAACAAACAAUAUACCUAUAAGAAUUUUGAUUUAAAAUAGCAAUGUUGAAUAAUUUAAAAAAUAUUAUUGAUUAUUUGUAUGGAGAACAUGGAUCCUUGCAUUGACCAGGGUGAAAGUUAUAAUACAGAUGAAACAUCAAAAUUAAAAUGUCUAUACUCGACAAAUUUAUACUUCAUAAAAACAAACUUGAAGCUUUAAAUUAUUAUCAAAACAUCUAUGUUUAUCAUAAAAUUGGUAAAAGACAUAAGGGUGAUCCAUAAUUAGAACAAUUUCAAGCUUUCUUGGUCAUUAUCUUGAUGUACCAGGUGAUUGAUCUGCUUGGUUAUGUUGUGCUGUUCUGGUGUCAUAACAAAUGAUACAAAGGUUGUUUUUCGUUCAUCAACAAGUAUGGUUUAUUUAUUUAUUGAAAUGAGAUGUGAAAUGUGGGAUUUUGAUGUACAUAGUGAUUUAUAUUUUAAAAAAGCAACUCAUGGAUUUUUAGCUGAAUUAUAUCAAAAAUGAAAAAAAAUAGGAUUAAUCAUAAAGUAACAGUUGUAUUAUUUUUACGUAAAUUUUAUGAAGCUAAAAAUAUUGAUGAUUUUCCAAAUUACAUAUGUGAUUAUUUACAAAAAAAUUAUCUUGGUAGAUAUUAUGAAGAUUUUUAUAGAAUUGCUGUACAAAAUUAAAAAUGUGAAGAUUGGAAUAAUAUAUUUUUUAAGCUACGUAAAGUAUUUACAAAUUAUUCAACAAGUGUAUUGAAUUAUCAUAAAAAACCAGGUAUAACAAUACCAACACCAACAAAUUCAACAGCAGCACAUGAUAAUUUUAUUAAAAGAUCUUGAUAGAAGUUUUGAUAAAACUCGUCGCGACACCAGGUGUUGAUGUAUUUGAAGUUGAUAAAGAAUUAACAAAUUUUACAAAACAAAGAAUAAUUGAUAAUGGUGUUGGCAGUGAUCUUGUUCGUGUUGGUGAUUAUUAAACGCAAAUUAUAAAACGUAAAAUAUCUGAUCCACGUAUUAGUCAUUCACCAACUGAUAUUACAUAAUUGAUAACAAAAAGUGCUGCUAUUUUAAUACCAGAUAGAAAUGAUGGAAUUAUAGGAAAACAUUCAGCUAGUGAUACAAAUAUUGGUAAUAAAAAUUCAACAAAAAGUGAAUUUAUUGACACAACAUUGUCAUUGUCAUACAGACAAAUAUCUGGAAGUGCUGGGAGUCCAAUAGAUACAGUUAUUUAAUUUUCAACAUCACAAAAAUCUGGAAAAAAAAGAUCUUUCAAUCCAUUUGAUCGUUCUUAUGUUAAUGUUAAACUAACUAGGAAUAGACGUCGUUAGACUCAUAUUUUUUCAAAAGGAUUGUUGAUUUUUGAAUCAUCAAUUUAUUGAAAAUUUAUUAUUUCUAUAUUAACUAAGACCAGCUGGUGACUUGUUUCAACAACAUCAUCAUCAAGCAAAUACAUCAACACCAGAAAAUCAAUCUAAAGCUAACUUCAAUGAUUAAGUUGGAGAAAUUAAAAAACAUGGAUGAUGAUGAUUUGUGUUCACAACUUUACAGCAGUUAUAGGUGUUGAUUGGAAGUCAUUAAUAAUACCAGCAUGUUUACCAAUAACAACUGAUUAUUUUCCUGGUAAAAAAAAAUUGACAGGAUGAUUCGGUUGUGUCAAAUUAUAAUUUAUUGCCAUAUGAUGUUAAUGCUGAUUAUGCACAACAACGUGCUACUCAUAAAAAGUCAUUAAUAACUGCUGCAGUAUUUACAGAACUUGUGCCAUAAAGACUUGCUCAGGUUUUUAAUUGAUCAUUUUACUAACAAUUAAAAAAAGUUAAAACAAUAAAUGCUGGUAAUAAUUCAUCGACACAUGUUAGGUCAGUGAUUGGUGGCAGAUUUAUAGAUCAAGACGUUCACAUCUACCUUUUAAUAUUCAAUAUGGAUUACGUUUUUAUGCACUACAUAAUUG